rnacentral:tRNA from 1 species
GGAGAGGUGGCAGAGCGGCUGAAUGCGGCUGUCUUGAAAACAGCUAGGCCUGAGCGCCUCGGGGGUUCGAAUCCCUCCCUCUCCG